UAGUUUUUGAUCAGGCACCUUUGGGGACGCCAUCUUCAGGGGUCCUAAUAUUGAAAACUAUCAAGCGCCGUCGUUUACUGACUAAACUUAUGAAUAUUAGCUCAAGCACAUGAGUAGCAGUAUGCCUGCUGAACGUAAGAAGUCCGUCAACAUGGAGGAGAGAGAGACGGGCUCCUUCAGCAACAAGGACAGAGACGCAGACAGACAGGCCGCCGCGUCCCGCGACAAGAGCAAAGACGAGACCAAGAUGAGCGCGAAGAAGGACGGAGGCAAGACAGCGG